GGAAAAGAAGAAUGAUAAACUUGAGAAGCAGAAAGGCUGUGAAAGUGUCUCUCUGGAAAAAAUCAAUCACCAACCAUUUGUAUUGCAUGGCCAACUCUACCCCAACCAAAUAUUCAGAAUAUCCACAGCCAUGAAAACCAGUGGUUCCCCAAAUACACCCAUGGCCAUCUGACUGGUAGAGGAAGGAAGAAGUGGUUGAAACCAAAUGAAGACGACACAGAGAAGCUGGUUGAAAUCCUGACCAAUAAAGCCUUAUUAAAAGAUGUGAGGAUACUUUCCACUGGCCAAUAGACAUCCAGCCUGGAAUCCUACCAUGCGGUGGUAAACCACUUUGCCCCCAAAAUGCUCUACUUCACGGAAUGAAAUCCAGGCUCAUGAUGUUAGCAUUGCAUUUCAACGAAAAUGCCAGUCGAGAGCCAGCUGUUACCCAAUCAGGAGAAGCACGUUACAAGAUUGAUUUCCCAGUAUUCCAAAGGGGAGAGCACACAGAAAAUCAUGGUCCCAGGGACAUACAAGUGUGUUGACUGGUUGAAAGAUUGUGUGAUUUCCAUGGCCCAAAAUGGGAACAAAGCUUGUCCAUCUAAGGAUAUGCCACCUUUAAUGUUCCAUAAGUACGAAAAACCAUCAAAGGAACAAGCCAUCCUUAACCACAAGAGCCGAUUUAAAAGUGGCCAUUAAAACCUGUGACACUUGUUUUGGACAUUUCUGGAGAAACUGAACUGAAUAAUUGUUUUAUUUUUAAAUUGUUUAUUUUUAAAAUGUAAUUAUAUUUGUUCCAAAGACAACUGAAAUCCUCUAUAUGUGCCAUUCGGGCUAGGAAACGUCUCCCUGAUUUUUAAGACCGCACAUGCAGACAUAACUCUGCAGACAUCUCUGCCGAGAAAUCUCCAACACCAACGACAAAGUUGAUGAUAUGCCAUAUAGCGGUAUUUCCUGCAAUAGCAAAUGGAGUAUUGCUGUUGUAUUGCUGCCUGUAUUGGUAGUAUGCAGUAUCAAAUACACCAUGGUUAAGGCACACUGGGUUGAAGUCUGGGUGCUGGGUUAUACAUUUCUGGGGAAAGUCUAGUUCUUCACAUUUUUCACAUGUUCACUCAAGUUCCUGGCAGCAAACACUUCCUCUUGUUGUGGCCAUUGGCUGGCAGUUACCACAGGAGCACCUGAAAAAAAGAAAGAAAGAAAGAAGUUUCACAUUUGCUGAUAACUUUCCUUGUCUCUCUCUCUGCAGGAAGACAAUCGCAGUUGUAAUAAAAACAGUUGGACUCGUAUCUAAAACCACUGCUGGCAGUCAGUAUGACGGUUACAUUUUAAACAACACCAAUAUUAAAAUGAAAGACAAACUAUUGGAUACAACUCAAAAGUUUUAUUCAAGCACGUCAUAUCAAACAUCUGCACAGCCGAAACACUGUAUUUAAAUGAAUAAUUAAACAUAAAGGGUUUAUUUUCUAACUUGCCACAUAUAAAGCACUACUUAAAAAAAUUAAAAACUAUAAUAAAAUACAUUUCAAAAGAAACUAGUGUUAAACAGGCGUAAACAGGUAUGUAUACAUAUAAAACUGUAAAAACUAAAUGUUACUAAAGUAACAUAUGUUUUCUCUUGUGUCACUCGGUGCAGGACUGAAGCAUUCCUUGUACAAAAUGAAGGAAUUGAUGGCUGCCAGGUCCAGUAGAUACAGGCUUGUAUAUUUUAAAAAAAAUAGAAUAUUGUAGGUUAUAUUCGAAAUAAAAACAUGUAAAAGGCAGUCAAAAUGACUGCUUUGGGUGUUCUAGGUGGGUGGGAUUAUAAUGUCUUUAUUUGCGUGAUCCUGCCUUUCAAAUGCCGUCGGUAUUUAAUACAUAUAUUUAGGAAAAGUAAUAAAUGGACAACCACAUAACUUUCAAACACGCAGAGUAAUUUAAAUUUUAAAACCUCACACCGUCAAAAUGAUAACAGCAAGGCUGGAAGAACCUAUAGAAAAUUGUGCUGCAGCUGUUCAACAAAACUUUCAAAGGGAGAAAAAGUUGCAAUUACCACAGACUCGUGGACCCCAUUUCCCAAUCUUCCCCUAGGUGAAAGGCUUUUUUUACUUGAAAUUGUUCUGUAAGCUUUUGGACUGAUAGGCUGUUUGUUUAGUACAGUUUUUAUUUUUUAUGUUGGAACUACUGCACUAAAGUUAAUGAACUCUGAGACACACUUCAAACAGGUAGGCCAUUUAGUAUUACUUGACCAUAUACAAUUAACUGCACAAGAAGGCAAACAUUAUAUUAAUCACUUCUAAUAUAUUACUUGACUGCAUGUUAGUUUGACAUUUAAAAUAGGACUUGUGGCAAUGUUUGAGAGGUUUGUGUACACUAGUACAGUAUGUAGAGGAGAGUGGUGUUUGAUUCGAGUACUCGGAAAUUGUAAUGCUCAAGUACUCGUCUCGAGCAACAAUAGAUCUCAAAAAUCCCACCCCUACUAUCAAAGACCGCAAACUUUUAAACACAGACUUUUUAAUAUCCGUCACAGUGCUCUUUAAAAUUCCAAAAUAUUGUGCUAUUUUAUCGCUGGUAAUGACCUUUUCCAGAAGUGAAAGUAUUUCCAACUUUUUUUUGUGUACGUUUUCUUUAUUUUAUUUUUUUUUUUUUCACUUUGUAGUUAAGUCUUUGCCAUGUUAAAACGUUAUUUGCUUAUUUAGGGUUUAUUUGCUUAAAAAAUACUAACCAGGGCUGUCCAUAUCAGAAUGUAAUAUGAAGAGUGUGUGUCUGUGUAUGUAGAUAUGGUUUAAACAUUUAAACACUGACAUUGCAAAGCAUUUAAACAUUCAUAAACAUUUACCAAAAGCACUUCCCUACAACCCUGCCUUUCUCUAAGCGGUUUGUGAUGGUUCCUAGUGUAUGUAUGCACAGUCUAGGUAAGGUUAUGUCUACUAAUCGAUUAUCAUGAUAUUAUCGAUAAUUUAUUUAGUCUUGAAUAGUUAUUGUACUGAAAAGUUAUUAUCGAUAAUCAUAUUAUCGGUAAUAUGUUUUUGUUUUUUUUCUGACAGUGAUCUAAAGGAUCAGAACCACAGCUAUCUACUGUAGACAAUAUAUUUUUCCAUAACGAGAUACUGGAGCAGGGGUGUUAAGUGCCAUGUUAUUGAACUUGGCACCAGAAAAUUAUUUUAAUUCAGUCUGCCUUCUACUGGGGGAGAGAACAGGGGAUAAAGUCGCAGUUAAUGGGAGUUCAAAUACAGUUUAAGAUCAUGAUUAUUGUGAUGUAGAACAGUCACAGUUACUAUAUACAGCAGUUUCCAUGAGUAUUGACCACAUCUAUCAAUGUCAUGCAACAGUAUUUUCAGAUAGCUAAAUGAUUGAAUUGGUAUCUAAAGCCACUGGGGGUCGAUACUUAUGGGCACCACAGUAAUGACUAUGACUCAAGAAUGACUAAUGCAGGUGAUGAGAAGAUGUUGGUAUGGGGGCCUGAAACAAAAGGCCUCUAAGUAUUGGUGCUUGCCAUAAUUAAUUAGUCUCCCAGAUGGUAAUUAAUUUGGCCUACAACAAAUACUAAAUAAUGUGUACAUUUCAACAGGCAGUAGCUGUUACAUGGAUUUAAUCACAAGUCAAAGUUGGUGUGUUGAAUAAUGCCAGUAUGAAUUGACUACAUGGCUGCUUCUUGGUCCCAUUGUUACUCUCCUCCUGUUUGAAGUUGGCUGACUGUUUGUCACAAAGAGAUUCAGUCACUGCAAUUGUUGGAAGGUAUUAACAAAAUUAUUUUAAGAAAUUAAAAAAAAAAAAAAACAUGUGAAAGUUUAAAGGACAGAGAGCAAUUUGUUCACUGAGGGUGUGACUGACCCAAUGUAGCUUUGCCUCCGAAUAGUUUCCUUUAGACUUUUAAAUGAAUAAUUCAACAAAGCGUUUGUCACAUGGAAAUGUUAGCAACCGUAUCAGAUAAAACCUCAAAAGAAUAUUGAAAAGCUGUGCUUGGGAUUUUCCACACAAUUGCCAGAUGAUUUAGAAUACUGUACUGUAACAUCCAUUUUAAGAUUUCCCUCUGUAUAUUUGGAAUGUUUAUAGAUAAGCAGCUGCUUCUCAGCAGUUAGUAAAGCCACUUCAGACAUUAAUUGCUAAAGGCCUCAUGAGUAGCCACAUAAAAACUGUUAGAACUAAACUAAUGCUGGUUAUAUUGUACGUGGUCCUGGCAUUUAUUUUUUUUAUUUUUUGCAUUCUAAGUAAUUAAAAAAAACUCAUGUCUCAGAUUCCAGAAAACUCUAUAGCAGCUUUAUUUUCACUUCAUAUAAUUAGCACCUACAUCACACUUUAAUGAUAAUUAACAAGCGCAUUAAUACUGUUAUGUUUGUAUGCACUUCAGGUGCUAUAUAUGCAUAAUUGUAUUUCUUGUGGCUUAUCUUUACUCGUGCCAGCAGAUUAAGUAGAAAAUGAUAAGAGAUUGGUUGGAACAGUGAACUCUGCUAUCUGCCAUGGCAACAAGGUAGGGUGAUAUGGAUUUGUCUAAACACAUUUACCUAGACAGAUACAUGAUGAGACAAUUCAGACAAAAUGUUGACAAAGGCCUUAAGGUCAAGAUAGCCUGUCCAACACUCUUCCUGAGAAUUCUUAGACAGUUGUCCUUUAGGAUGUUUCCUUCUCAAAGAGGCCACAUGGAUAAUUUGACAGAGAGCCAGACAGGCUAUUACAAGUAGCAAAUAGACAUGGCGUCUAUUUGCUAGCUACUUAGACCCUCGUGCCUAAUGGAGGCGUAGAGAGGUCUGCCACAUUAAGUCGGUAGAACCUGGUGAAUGUAUGAGGAGUAGCCCAGCUAGCCGCAGUACAAAUAUCAGACAAUGAGGCACCUCUAAAGAGGGCCCAUGACGUGGCCACACCUCUGGUAGAGUGCACGGAAAACCUCCCAGGUGGGGUUGGGCUGGCAUUAGUAUAUGCUGUCCUCAAAUAAUCAAAUCUCUUAGGGAUAUUUCGACAAUAUCCAUACGAUGCAUUCUUCCUUUUUUUCUGUUCCUGGUAGAAACCCAGUUCCCUUUUUCUUCAGCUAGACCAUACAUGACCUCAUUAAUAUGAACCUUGUUUAACCGUUUGAAAUCUCAUUACCUACAUGUGGAUAAAAUGAUUGUCUCUUAAACAAGUACCUUGUAAACAAUGUGUGGCUACUUUAGGAUUUUACAAUAAACAAAUGUCUUUUAAAAUGAAUUUGGGUGAUUUUCUUGGGGACCUUGUUCCUGCUGUUUUCUGAAUAAAAGAACCUAAAGGUAUCCUGUAAUUUGUUCUGUGCCUUAUCACACUGAACUGGUGCAGUCGCUCU